rnacentral:rRNA from 2 species
GACGAACGCUGGCGGCGUGCCUAAUACAUGCAAGUCGAGCGAACCAAUAAGAAGCUUGCUUUUUGUUGGUUAGCGGCGGACGGGUGAGUAACACGUGGGUAACCUGCCUGUAAGACCGGGAUAACUCCGGGAAACCGGUGCUAAUACCGGAUAGAUUAUCUUUCCGCCUGGAGAGAUAAGGAAAGAUGGCUUUUGCCAUCACUUACAGAUGGGCCCGCGGCGCAUUAGCUAGUUGGUGAGGUAACGGCUCACCAAGGCGACGAUGCGUAGCCGACCUGAGAGGGUGAUCGGCCACACUGGGACUGAGACACGGCCCAGACUCCUACGGGAGGCAGCAGUAGGGAAUCUUCCGCAAUGGACGAAAGUCUGACGGAGCAACGCCGCGUGAGCGAAGAAGGUCUUCGGAUCGUAAAGCUCUGUUGUUAGGGAAGAACAAGUAUCGGAGGAAAUGCCGGUACCUUGACGGUACCUGACGAGAAAGCCACGGCUAACUACGUGCCAGCAGCCGCGGUAAUACGUAGGUGGCAAGCGUUGUCCGGAUUUAUUGGGCGUAAAGCGCGCGCAGGCGGUCCUUUAAGUCUGAUGUGAAAUCUUGCGGCUCAACCGCAAGCGGUCAUUGGAAACUGGGGGACUUGAGUGCAGAAGAGGAAAGCGGAAUUCCACGUGUAGCGGUGAAAUGCGUAGAGAUGUGGAGGAACACCAGUGGCGAAGGCGGCUUUCUGGUCUGUAACUGACGCUGAGGCGCGAAAGCGUGGGGAGCAAACAGG